AAAAUCCUGAUUGGCCUCUCUGCCGUUCCCCACGCGACAGAUCCCCACCGCAGACCUCGCCACCGCCGCCGCCGCCGCCGCCGCGGCGUAGGUUGUUGCGCGCUGACGGCCACGCGCGGCAGGAGAGGUCGAGGAGAUACGGAGGUCGGCGGGUGUCCCGAAGAGGCCGCCGUCGCAUCUCCGGCCGUCCGCGAUAGCCCUGUACGGCGGAAAACUACUAGUCCGCCGUCCAUCGCGGGGGGCCGCCGGCGCGGUAGACCAGAGCUCCUGCGGCAUCCAAUCUCUGCCCAUCAAAUUAGUGCUCGUUGCUCGGUAUGCUAGCACUGGUAUGGAUAUAUUAGCAGCAGAGACGAAUUUCUUUAUACAUAUAGGCUGUUUGUUACCGCGGCGAUACCAUCAAGUUGGUGGAGAAAUCCCUAUUUCUUCGCGGUAGAGGACUGCAUACAAGUAAUUUGAUGUGCCCAAGUAUCUGAUUACUCACUUGUUUGUGCAAUGAGCGUGGAUUCAGGUUGUUGGGAGCAACAGAAGGGGAUUAGCAUUUGUUUGCAGGUUCACUUCAGAGGCUGCUUUGAUCUGAGAAUCUCUCUGACUCCCCAAACUCCUGUGGAUUGUCAAGGAGAUUAAAUAGUGUCGACAGGCCUUGCGAGAUUCCAGUGGAUUCGCAAGUGACAGUUUCCCGUUAGAAAGAUGGCUGACUUUUAGUUUAGGUCAUCAGUCUUAUCAGUUUGCUCAUGUACCGUGCUUUUGCAUUGAAUUUACAGUGUGGAUUGUGGAAGGAAGCUCCAUGCUGCUGAAGCAAGAUAGAGGAUCUGACUCCUGAUUGGACAGACAUUUGUCUUACUUGUCUCAUGCCAUCGACUUAAAUUGGACUGGACAAUCAGCAAAGUCAAAUGGCAGAACCAUAGCCAUCGUAUUCAUCAUCAUCUCGUGGGAAAAAGAAGCGACCACGCCCUCCUAAUGACGAUGCCACAAGUUCACAAGGCAGAUCCGAGCAUGGCACAAGCCUUGAGGACAACCUUAUAUUCAGUGAUACUUUGAUAGCUCUACAGUUGAUGCGCACACAGUUCCCAAAGCUAGAGAAGGACAGUAUUCCUGUGCCACAAGGUGCUCUGGAAAGCCAAAGUGCCUGUCAAGUGCCUUUUCUUCAUCUGGUUAGCACUGCAGCACCAUUGCUGGGAGUUGACCAGCUAAAAUGCCUGCAGCUGCCCAAACACGCCGAGACGGUGAACACUGCUCCUGGUUGAGAUGGAAUCUGCUGUCAGGAGGUCAACGGGUAAAAACAAAGAUGGUAGUGAAGUGUUUGAUUGGUUUGAGAAAUAUGUUCUGCGUUCGAAAUUGGAUGUUAGCAUUGAUCACCUAGAGCUGUGCUCACUGUUAUCACAUGGUGGUGAUGCAAGAGAUAAACAUAUCACCUUAUUGAUGAAUGCUGGUCUCCUGACACGCCAACUAAUAGAUCCAAACAUGUACUGGUUUUCUAUUCCAAGUAUUGGUCCUAUCCCAGACCUCGUCACAACUGAUAGAAGACAAGAAUUGACGUUCGUCAAAAGUAACGACAUCAUUAAACUUGAUAGGAGCAAGACAUAUCCUCCUGCCUGGUUUCAAAAACUGGUGUAUCUGCUAAUGAUGAAUUGGGGGAUUGUGUGCUCUCUUCCAGGUCAAGAUCACAGGGUUGUCCUGUGUUCUCUCUUCCAGGUCAAGAUCAGGGUUGUCCUGUGUUCUCUCUUCCAGGUCAAGAUCAGGGUUGUCCUGUGUUCUCUCUUCCAGGUGAUGGGCGUUGUUGUCCUGCCUGGUCUCUUCCUGGUGAGGAACAGAGUUGUCCGGGUUACUGACAACAUCUACAACAUCCAUGCUCUCAUGAGGUUCGUUCUGAGAGACAACACCCAUGAUCUCUUCCUGGCAACUGACAUGAGGUUUGGGGUCUUCCGCAUUUUGGUGGUCAUCAUGAGGUGAUGGGCAUGAGGUGUGAUCUCUUCGGGGCGAGGGAACGGAGUUGUCCUGGUCACUUCCUGGAUCAAAAUCCAUCCUCUCUUCCUGGCCACUAACCUGAGGUUCGACCUGGUUGUUCUGUGUCUCUUCCAUCCUCUCUUCCCGUGCAUCUUCCGCAUUUUGGUCAUCUUCGGGGUUGUCCUGUGUGAUCUUCAUCCUUUCUUCCUGGCCACUGACCUGAGGUCCGACCUGAGGUUCGACCUGGUUGUUCUGUGUCUCUUCCAUCCUCUCUUCCCGUGCAUCUUGGACAUGAGAUUCGUCAUGAGAUUCGUCCAUGCUCGUUUCCUGGUGACUGACAAAACCCUCCUCAUCAUCCUCAUCCUCAUCCUCCUCCUCCUCCUCGGCUGCUCGGCAUGGAAGGUUUCUCUUGUUCAAAUUGUGACGGAGGAGGCUGAUAGAAAGCUCCUUGCGGAACUUCAACACCUUUUCCUGCAUUUUUCAGGCAUAAAUCAUUUGUUUCAGAAUUUGAAUAGAACAAAACUUGAAAAACAAGGAUCAAUGUUUACCUCAUCGAUGUUAGAUACCGCCAUCUGCUCUAGCCCUUGGAUAUAUAAUAGAACAUGAAAUCCACAAUCACGACUGCAAUAAUUUAAUUGCAAUAAUCAGUGCUAGAAAAGGUGGUAAACACAGACUACGGUUUGUGUCAUCCACUUACGUAUUCUUUUGAUGUUCAACCUCUGGAAACUCUACAUCAUAAUCAGAAAUGUUGAUGUUAUGUUUAGCGCUUAAAUAUGAUUCCAGCUUAGUCAACACAUCACGUGCCACGUCUUGAUGUAUCCCUGGACAGGAGUCCAGGAUAUAUUUCUUUUUUGCCGUAAUAGAAACGGCAACCAAGGAAUAAUGAUGACGGUAAACUAUAGGAAUGAAUAGCUGAAAAAAAUCUACUGUCAAAACUCAUGACAUUGAAAUACAAAGAUCUGAUACAAUAAAUACACAAACCUGUGUCAUAUCCUUCACUUUCUCUGUUGUAAGCUGCUUGUCCAGAUAUUUAGUUUCAUC
rnacentral:rRNA from 1 species